AGUGUUAACGAUUCUUAAAUAAGCUUUCAAUAAGCAGAGUGAACAGGAACAAAACAAUGUUGUGUUCCGUUCGGUUUUAUUUUUUAUAAAUCACAAUAUUUUUAGUUCAGAACUACGGCGUUUCCACGUCGGUGGUGGUGAAAUAUGAUACUGCUUGGUUUUCUCCGAAAGAGUCGAGAUACGCCGUAUAACUUUCUUAAGUGUGCGGUGGUCAACUGCAUGUGUAGGUCAAGGAUUUCCCCGAAAGAGACGAUGUCUACGUAUGUACGAGUUCGAAAUGUUACCGCUCGGCCGGUUUUUAUACCACGGUCGGUACGUAAAACCAAACGACUGCAAGCUCCGUUUACAUACAAAGGCCGACCUAAUAUCGUAACCACCGCCCGCUCAUCAAUCCGCGGCCGUGGUCUCCGUGAAAAAAAUCGCUCCGAAAAUGUCUCUCGUCCUCGGGGCACUCUACCGAAUUUCCAUUAUAACGAUAUACGCGUACCACAUCAUAUUUUAUUCGCACCGAUCACGUGACUCAAUUGUUAUGAAAUAUAUUAUUAUGAUGUUAUUAUUAUAUAAUGUGUGGUGUUGGUAUACGAUGGGCUCAAUCUCGGUUUAAGACCCCCCUUCCACCCUUUGGACCACUAGACCGGAGAUUUUUUUUAGGGCACUCUAAUUCUACAAAAUAUUGUGUGUU